rnacentral:rRNA from 1 species
CAGUAGCCGCGGUAAUACAGAGGGUGCGAGCGUUAAUCGGAUUUACUGGGCGUAAAGCGUGCGUAGGCGGCUAAUUGAGUCGGAUGUGAAAUCCCUGAGCUUAACUUAGGAAUUGCAUUCGAUACUGGGAAGCUAGAGUAUGGGAGAGGAUGGUAGAAUUCCAGGUGUAGCGGUGAAAUGCGUAGAGAUCUGGAGGAAUACCGAUGGCGAAGGCAGCCAUCUGGCCUAAUACUGACGCUGAGGUACGAAAGCAUGGGGAGCAAACAGGAUUAGAUACCCCCGUAGUCCCUGUCUCUUAUAC